AGAGCACCUAUUAUGGGAUACACGUUUUUAAACAUCCUUUUGUGUGUAAGUGUGCAUUAGUACAUGCUAACGAUAUUCAAAAAGUACAUACCUCAAAGAAAACGAUGACGCGAGUUAUCGUCUCUAACGUUCGAGGACUACAAAAAACACUCGGAUUGUAGGCAACAGUUUACUUCCUGGGAUUAGUGACGUAGAUAAGACCAACAUUAUCAUAGUUCAGCCCUCUCUGCUUUGCUUGGGUACGCCCUCAAAGACGGGGGUGGAGAGCGCUGAGUUAGAAGAGAGCUAAAAUGGCGGAGGUUGUGAGUCCCUGCUUUGACCCUGUUUGCAAACUCUUGUUUCAUCGUUUAAGCGAUUAAAUCUCUCGAGUAGACGCUGUCUCUUUAGAUGCAAGGGCAAAAUAGCACUUUAUGGACUUCCACAGAGGACAUCAUGUUUAAUACGGUUCCGGAAAAAUCCAGUCAGAAGUUGUUCACGGAGUUUUCACAAUAACUGCUUCUCAUGAACCGAAGCUGGACGUCUCCUCCUGAAAGUUGGAUUACUGUGCACUUCUGGAUCACAGGCUAUUCGCAGCUGGACACAUCCUUCUACACUGUAUGCAAACAUGCAACAUCAUAACACACAGUACAAGGAGUCAGACUGGCAUAUGAGGAGCAAAGGAACCCAGACAGUAGCAUCGUUUCACAAUGUUUCCAUCACCAUCAUCAGUGGAUGCCUUUGCCGUCCGUAGCCUGAGAUUUCAGAUUUGCAGCAA